GGCUAGAUGGCCGAGCGGUCUAAGGCGCCACGUUAAGGUCUUCCUUAAUCAUCAUCUUCCAACAAAGAUUCCGUGGUCCGAAAGGGCGUGAGUUCGAAUCUCACUCUAGUCA
rnacentral:tRNA from 1 species